CUGGGCACACCCACUUCUGAUGUUGUUGCUUGAGGCACAGAAAACAGUUCCCCCUGGAUUCUGGGUGUCUCACAGCCAAGUAGAAGACUCUCAAGCCUGAGGUAAACUGGACAUAGAAAUCACAUAUGUGAGGUACAUUUUAUGAAGAAAACUGAAAAUAAGCUCAUCUAUCAGCCAUUCAAAUCUGGAAGCCUAACUGUCAUAUAUUCAAGAAUGAAAGGCAACUCCUUCUAUUUUUGAAAGCCACAAAUGAAUAAACUCGCUCUCUACAAAGAGUGGAGGGACCUGGAUGAUGAAGUAGGUGGCUCCUGAACUCCCCUGCUCCCACAAAUGCACCAAAUUUACACCGACACAUACAGCAACCCCCUCUGAGAGAAAUCCAGAAACCAGAUUCCACACAAAAAUGAAAUCAAAACCACAAUGAGAUAUCAUCUAAUACCAGUCAAAAUGGCUGGCAUCAAAAAGACAAGAAGUAACAAGUGUUGAGGAAGAUGGAGAGAAAAGGGAAUCUUUGUGCGUUGUUGGUGGGAAAGUAAAUUGGCACAACCUUUGUAGAAAAUAAUAUGAAGUUUCUUCAAAAAAUUAAAAGUAAAAAUGCCAUAUGAU